AUUGAACGCUGGCGGAAUGCUUUACACAUGCAAGUCGAACGGUAGAGGGGGCAACCCCUCGAGAGUGGCGAACGGGUGAGUAAUAUAUCGGAACGUGCCCAGUCGUGGGGGAUAACGUAGCGAAAGUUACGCUAAUACCGCAUACGAUCUAAGGAUGAAAGCGGGGGAUCGCAAGACCUCGCGCGACUGGAGCGGCCGAUAUCAGAUUAGGUAGUUGGUGGGGUAAAGGCUCACCAAGCCAACGAUCUGUAGCUGGUUUGAGAGGACGACCAGCCACACUGGAACUGAGACACGGUCCAGACUCCUACUGGAGGCAGCAGUGGGGAAUUUUGGGCAAUGGACGCAAGUCUGAUCCAGCCAUUCCGCGUGCAGGAUGAAGGCCCUCGGGUUGUAAACUGCUUUUGUACGGAACGAAAAGGUCUCUCUUAAUACGGGGGGCUCAUGACGGUACCGUAAGAAUAAGCACCGGCUAACUACGUGCCAGCCGCCGCAGUAA
rnacentral:rRNA from 1 species